CUAGGGGGCCUCUUGUAGUGAGCCUUACUUCCUGGGCUGCUCUGAGAAACGGGAGACAAGGGAGCUCAACCAGAGUUUCCGUGUUUGCUUUUAAAGCAAUCCCAGGUUGACUUCAAUCAACAAUGGACUCUUGGCUCCAAGGAGUAUGAGGAGGAAGGAAGAAAAAGGGACAUAGAAGUUGUUCCCAGGGGCACCUGUGUGACUUUGCUGAAGCUGCCUUUGAUUAUAUGACCAGUUAUCCCGGGAGAUGUUCCUUCGAGAGAAUGAACUGCAGAUGAAGUAACGCACGUGAAAGCACUUCAUACAGCUUGCACUGCCAUCCAGAUGUAUCUGCUGACAGCUUGCUCAAUGAAUGAAAAGAGAUGUGUGAGAUGUUGUGGCCUCUUGGCAAGUGAGAGCACUGGCUGGACUCUAAGGAGCUGGCAACCAGUCUGAAGAUGCAUUUGGAUCUGACUGACUCGAGGUGUCAUCGGAAGAACCCUUCCCCUCAGAGAUGCUCUAUCACCGUCACUUCUUUUUCGCCGAAUUUUAAAUGGACUCUUCAUGAAUUUCACAUCAGGCAUCCCAAUCCUACUCACUUGGCCGUCCUUCCAUGUCUGCCCUCAACCCUUGUAAACUCCUCCCCAAAGAAAAUAAAAAAAUCAAAAAUUUAAAAUUAAAGAAAAAAAUAAA